rnacentral:lncRNA from 1 species
CUUCAACCUGGGCUCUUCUACAGUCUGGUAGCAGUGUUUUCUUCAGAAGCUGAUGACAUUCUAGUCACUGGAACCUCAAUAUUGUGAAGAAUGGACAACGAUCUGAAACAGUUUGGAAAUGGAGAAGGAAACCUGUCUAUUAUUAUAUGGCUAGAAGGACAGUUCUCUCUUCAUCUCUGGGACAAAUGGGAUGGUCACAUCAGCACUGGUUUGCAAGGAACAAGUGGCACAAGAGCACAAAUGUGCUCAGAUUUCAUGUCUUGA